UCCCUGGUGGCUCAGUUGGUAGAGUCUGCCUGCAAUGCAGGAUAUCCAGGUUUGAUCCCUGGGUUGGGAA
rnacentral:tRNA from 1 species